AGCGGUCGCGCUUCGGUCGUACGUCGGUAUCGGUUGUUUUGAUCCAGCAAAGACGUGUUUUUCCGCCCCCCGAGUCGGAUGUUUUAGCCGCAAGCGCCAUCCGUAAACCGUUCCGAUCCGGGCGCCUCGUCUGCUGCGUUGCUCGUUUCUUUUUUUCCGCGAUCGGGUCGCUUAUCCGAAGGCGACGUGAUCCGGUUAACGCAAGAGCCCCUUUGUGUUAUUAGGUCAAAGGGAUGCCGCGGCAGACCGAGUCAGACGGACUGAAACCUUCGCUGGGUUUAAUCUCGUCGCAUUCGAUUGGGAAGAGCAGUUUCACGAUAAAAGCAAGUAGCGGCGUUAUAACGAUAAGUCACCCUCGACCGAGUCACUUGGAAAGAUGUGUGAUGUCAGCCUGGAAUUAAUGCGACUGGCCCGUCGUUGUUAGAGAGCGAGAGAGAGAGCGAGACAGAGCGCGAGAGCUAACGGCUACGCUGGUAAACAACGGGAGGCGCGAGCUCGCUUACUCGUCAAGUUAACGAAUCAACCGACGAAGGGGGAGAGAUACCCGCACCACGGUUACCUGCGCCGACAUUAACACAAGGCGGAAAUGAAACUGUUGGAGAACUCCAGCUUCGAAGCUCUCAGCUCUCAGCUCUGUGUUGAAACAGGAGAGUCUCGCAUACUUGGCAGGAUUGAGAGCUACUCCUGCAAGAUGGCAGGGGAUGAUAAACAUAUGUUUAAGCAGUUCUGCCAGGAGGGGGAGCCACAUGUCCUGGAGGCUCUCUCCCCCCCUCAGUCCACCAGCACCACCAGCCCCUCACAGUUGGGGAAGAGUGGCGAAGAUGGGGAUAACCCCUUGAGUGACAAGUGUUGCAGGAAGACUCUAUUCUACCUCAUCACCACGCUCAACGAGUCCUUCAGGCCCGACUACGACUUCAGUGCUGCCCGGGCCCACGAGUUCAGCCGAGAGCCCAGCCUCAACUGGGUGGCCAACGCAGUGAACAGCAGCCUUUUCUCAGCUGUAGGUGAGGAGUUCAACUCCCUGGGACCUGAGCUGUGGAAUGCCAUCGACCAAGAGAUAACCCUGCAGAGCUGUGAUAUUUACAGCUACAACCCUGACCUGGACUCAGACCCCUUCGGCGAGGAGGGCAGCCUCUGGUCUUUCAACUACUUCUUUUACAACAAGAAACUCAAGAGGAUUGUAUUCUUCACCUGCCGCUCUGUCAGGUCAGCUACCCCAACAUGUCCUGAGUGGCUAUGGCCAAGGGUGUCUUGACAAUGAGCUGGACAUGGAAAUGGAUGAUGAAGAGGAGACUGAUGGCUUCACUGAGGACAGGUUCCCCAGAGCUUUGUGUGUGUGAGCCUUGCCAGAGGACACACCGUGGCUGGAGAAGAUUUCUGCUUUCACAUCUUACUCUCAUCCCAUUCUUCCUCUCAUCUACUCUUGUUUUUAUUUGUUUUCUGCUGCCUCAUCUUAAGCCAUUUUCUCAUACAGUGAAAGAACUAUUUGCCCCGUAGACACGUGCAUGAUUUCAAGCCUCUCUGCUAGUCAAAAACAGUACCUUAAUCAAUGGACAUUCGGAAAUGCCCAAGGGUACAAUUUGAACAGCGUUCAGCCAGCGUCCUUGUUCUCCAGUACAUGGUUGAUGACCCUAAGCUCCUUUUCCCAUGGAACACACACAUCUAUGGACCCCCUUACACCAGCCUCUACGAUGGAAUCCGUGUUUUCUUCAGAGACCCUUCUCAAACCUUUUAGGAGCCGGGGUCCUUUGAGUCACAAGUUGUCAUGGAAGAUUGCAAGAGUAUUUGUUUUCUUACAAGUGAAGUCAUAAAUUCCUACAAUACAAGGGGAGUCCACACAACACCAGCACCAAUGAAAAUACAACACACGGAGAGGGUUUUGUAGUCGCCCUGUCGGGGAAGGAGCUGGGCUGGCCCCAUUAUAGCCAAUGGCAAUGAGCAGCUGAAUACUGGUUUGUGAUUCUAUAGCUAUUUUUGUUUUUGUCCCUCUCUUUGUUCUGUGUGUCGCUUUUUUGUGUGACAGUGAUGUUACUGUGAGAACUUAAUAUUUUUUUAGCACUGAGUUUGAACGUGUAUGCUGCAUUUGUAAUUGAGCCUUGUACUAUUGAAUUGUAUUACUGCUCAAUACUCCUCUGUGUAAGUGAGAAGGGAGAGUACAGCCAAGGAAAAUAUUAUAGGCACCCUAUUUGCAGCUUUGACAACAUAUCAGUUUUUAAUAGAUGUCCCGUUGUCUGGUUUGAAUUCAUUAUUCUACAGUUCUAAGGUAUUUUUUUUAUAUUGUGUAUAUAUUUCUAUAUUCUUCUUCCUAAAAUGCAUGACCUAAUGCAUUGCCCAGUUCAUAGAUGUCAUCCUUAUAAGGCUUUUCUUCUUUGCUCAUUAUCUUGGUGCAAAGGCUUCAGUUCAAAUGAAUGUAGCAUAAAAUUUAAGACCGGAGGCGUCAGACAAACUUAACAGGAACAUUGAACAUGUUUUACACUCUUUUUAAUACAUCGAGUACUCAUGUUGCUUACAAGUGGGCUUGAAUUCCGUGACUUUGACUGCUCUGCGCCUUGUUUGAUUAUUCAUUAUACUGAACAUGUCAAUAAACUUGCAUUUGA